AUGGGCGAAAGCCUGAUGCAGCGACGCCGCGUGAGUGAGGAAGUAUUUCGGUAUGUAAAGCUCUAUCAGCAGGGAAGAAAGAAAUGACGGUACCUGAGUAAGAAGCUCCGGCUAAAUACGUGCCAGCAGCCGCGGUAAUACGUAUGGAGCAAGCGUUAUCCGGAUUUACUGGGUGUAAAGGGAGCGUAGGCGGCAGAGCAAGUCUGAUGUGAAAGCCCGGGGCUCAACCCCGGUAGUGCAUUGGAAACUGUUCAGCUCGAGUGUCGGAGGGGUAAGCGGAAUUCCUGGUGUAGCGGUGAAAUGCGUAGAUAUCAGGAAGAACACCGGAGGCGAAGGCGGCUUACUGGACGAUUACUGACGCUGAGGCUCGAAAGCGUGGGGAGCGAACAGGAUUAGAUACCCUGGUAGUCCACGCUGUAAACGAUGAAUACUAGGUGUCGGUACCCGAAGGGUAUCGGUGCCGUCGCAAACGCAUGAAGUAUUCCACCUGGGGAGUACGUUCGCAAGAAUGAAACCCAAAGGAAUUGACGGGGACCCGCACAAGCGGUGGAGCAUGUGGUUUAAUUCGAAGCAACGCGAAGAACCUACCAAGAUCUUGACAUCC
rnacentral:rRNA from 1 species